UACGUAGGGGGCAAGCGUUGUCCGGAUUUACUGGGUUUAAAGGGUGCGUAGGUGGGCAGGUAAGUCAGUGGUGAAAUCUCCGAGCUUAACUCGGAAACUGCCGUUGAUACUAUUUGUCUUGAAUAUUGUGGAGGUAAGCGGAAUAUGUCAUGUAGCGGUGAAAUGCUUAGAUAUGACAUAGAACACCAAUUGCGAAGGCAGCUUACUACACAACGAUUGACGCUGAGGCACGAAAGCGUGGGGAUCAAACAGG
rnacentral:rRNA from 1 species